rnacentral:lncRNA from 10 species
UGGGAACUGGCGGUCUGACGCGGCGAGGUGAAAAAUCACCUUGGGGGCCCAGGUUCCCCACGAACAGCUAAUUCUCAGUUCUGGAGGCUGGAAAGUCCAGGGUCAAGAUGCUGGCAUUUGGUCUGAUAAGGGCCUUCUUGCUAUCUCCUUACAUGACAGAAGACAGUCGAACAAAGUGUACAAUUGCUGAGAGAUAGAAGCAAUGCAGCCCCAGAAGAGGAAGAAAAAUGACAGGAAAUCCCGAUCCACACUUGACCAAAAUCAUCAAACAAUCUAGGCAACUGGUUUUCACUCGUAUGAUAGUUUUUUAAGUUGUCAGCAAUUCUUGGCAAAUACAAGAAUAGAAAAUAACUUCAGUAAAACUCUGAGCUAAAAGGCUUAAUAUUCUCAUAGGUGUCUUGCCCUUAUAAAGGGUGGGUGGGUAGGGGGGUACCUAAAGAAAGGAAAUUUAGUCAGAGAAUAAACCUUCUGCUGUAAGAGAAAACAUAAUCCAAAAUAUCAAGUAUACUAUAUUUGAGGAAACACCAAAUUUAAAACGAAGUUUUUCAAAAUUUAUGUAACUCCAUAUAUAUCACUUCAUACACACACACACACACACACAUAAUUUACAGAUAACUUCUUAACAUUUAACCAACCUGAGGAAGCUAUUUCUUAAAAUUUAAUUUUAAGAGAAAUUCAUUUUAACUUUGAGAUGUAAAAAACAGUCUAAGAUCUUUGAAGCUAGCCAGAGUACAUUCCUGGAUUCUAAUAGUACUGCUUAAUCAUAGCCAAGCAGACACAAAAUGGUGUUUCAUAAAAGUGUGAUAGUUGCUACUGCAACGAUCAGUAGGUGUGCUUUUAAUGUUUAUUCAGUUGCAUAUUUUCAGAACUAACAUGACAUGGAUUGCUAAAGCCUGGAACAGCUCCUUGAUUUCGAAACAUGGUCACUUCCAUAAUGGCUAUAUAUAAAAAAGCAGAAUAAGAGGGCAAAAUUUUGUUUGUAUUUUUAUUUUUAAAAUAUGGAACGCUUUACAAAUUUGCAUGUCAUUCUUGUGCAGGGGCAUGCUAAUUUUCUCUGUAUCAUUCCAACUUUGGCAUAUGUGCUGCUGAAGCAAGCACAAGGCGGGCAAAAUUUGAAAUGCUAGUUCCCAUCCCACAGAGACCCACACAGUACUCCUUACAUCAUACUUAGAGAAGGUGUCAUAUUCAUGCAUAUUUUUGCUUUUGAUCUGUGAAAUUAAUUUAGGGAUAAAUUCAGUUCUACUUUUUAUUUUUCCUUUGCUGCCCCUACCGGCCCUUCCAAUAACUUACAAUAACAUAUUGUUUUAAAAAGUUACUUAUGAUAAUAUUCCCGAGACUUUUCUGCAAUUUGACGAUUUCUUCCACUCACAGGAAGACAGGCCUAGACUAUAACAAUGAAAGUGAACUCCACCAGAGGCAAAACAAUGUGACUAAACACAGGGACUUCCCCUUUGCUACACCAUGGUAUUCUUUGACCUACUUUAGUUUUCUACAAAUCAUCCCUUUAGUUCUCAGCCUGAAAGCACCAAAGCUAGGCCUCUGUUAAUCACACAUUAAUAAACAAUAACAAACAACAAAAAAGACAAACACAUGUGUACACACACGUACACACACACACACACACAUUUAUAUUAAGGAGUAAACAAUCUAAUCUGUGGAAAAAGCCACACCACUAAAUAAAACAUUAACAAAGGAUAAUUUGUUGAGUUUUUUUUCUAGAAUAGAUUCUAAAAAAUUUAAAAGGAGAAUUUUUAGAUAAGUAUUUUAAGAAAUGUAAUAGCUUUUAAAAUUAGUGUCUUGUGUAUGUAUUCCUGAUCCACAGAUCCCAUCUUUUGCUUAAAGCACCUGUUUAUAAAACUUUACAAUUUCUAAUUGGGAGUGGCAAGAGAGAUCUGACAUGCUUGAUUUGACCUGCCAAGCCUUUUUUCCUUUGGGAGAAUAUUCAUCUGCCUUUUCUAUUGAUUAGUUCAGUACUGUGCAGUUUUAUGAAGAUUCUAGAAAAGUGUUAGGUGAAAAUAAACAGCAAUGACAGUGAACUAAUCUAUUUUAGAGGGAAAAUUCCUCAAAGGCAAAGACAAUUCCCUCCCUCAUUUACCUUUUUAGGUCAGAAAAAGUAGGCCAUCAAUAACUAUAAUUAGUGCAGCAUCUGUAGGAUGCUCGAUUCUACUUUAACUACAUAGAAUAAUUUAAUCUCACUGAAAUUAUAAUUAAAUGAGAUCAGUACUUAAUAUGUCAUGGAGCUAUUAGUAAGCCUCAGAAAACUUGUUACUGGAAUGUAGCAAUUGUUCUCCACAAGACGAAUGACCAAGGGAAUCAGGAAUAAUGACAUAAUCUUCCUUCUCUCUGUGUUAAAUUUAUGCCAGGCAACUUUCAAUGUCUCCAGGAAAAGUAUCCACUGCUCUUUCUAUUCUCCCCUCUGAAUCCUUGCAUCAGGACAGACCAAUUUCAAAUCAAAUACAUUUAAAUGGUUAAAUCAAUACAUGUAUAUGAACCCUGAUUUAAUUUAUGAUUAAAUUGCUACUCAGAAAGGUAACAAUUUCUUUAAAAAUGCAUUUUACUUUUUGAAAUAUCUCACACAUAUUAUUCAUAACUCAGUUGUAUAUCUGACUUUAAAAUGUACAUAAUCUAAAAUUAAAGCAACAAUAAGUUACUCUUAAUUUUAUAUUUCCCUUAGGAAAAAAGAACAAUGUACUAAUAUACAUAUCUGUGAAACCACAUCUGAUUCCAUGUAUUAAACCUAAAUAAUAGACAGGCAUGCGAUCUAAGAAAAAAACAGCCUUGACCAAAAAAUUUUUUUCAACAAAUUUAAUGUUUAGAAAUUUUCUAUUUGUGUAUAACAUGUAAAAUAAA